UACGUAGGGGGCAAGCGUUGUCCGGAUUUAUUGGGCGUAAAGAGCUCGUAGGCGGUUCGGUAAGUCGGGUGUGAAACCUCCAGGCUCAACCUGGAGAUGCCACCUGAUACUGCUGUGACUCGAGUCCGGUAGGGGAGCGUGGAAUUCCUGGUGUAGCGGUGAAAUGCGCAGAUAUCAGGAGGAACACCAGCGGCGAAGGCGGCUCUCUGGGACGGUACUGACGCUGAGACGCGAAAGCGUGGGGAGCGAACAGG
rnacentral:rRNA from 1 species